UCAAGUGAAUAAGAGCAUAAGGCGGAUGCCUUGGCACUGGGAGCCGACGAAGGACGUGACAAGCUGCGAUAAGCUACGGGGAGGAGCACAUAUCCGUCAAUCCGUAGAUUUCCGAAUGGGGGAACCCACCUAUAGUAAUGUGUAGGUAUUUUCGUAUGAAUCUAUAGUACGAAUAAAGGCAACCCGGGGAACUGAAACAUCUAAGUACCCGGAGGAAGAGAAAGAAAAAUCGAUUUCCUAAGUAGCGGCGAGCGAAAGGGAAAGAGGCCAAACCGUUAGUUUACUAACGGGGUUGUGGAUCACAGCCGUGGUAGAUACAAGUUUAGCAGAAGACAACUGGAAAGUUUGCGACACAGAGGGUAAUAUCCCCGUAUGCGAAAAAUGAGUAUCACCUAUGUGACACCAGAGUAGGACCGAACACGUGGAAUUCGGUUUGAAGCCGGGGGGCCCACCCCCCAAGCCUAAAUACUACCCAGUGACCGAUAGUGAAUAGUACCGUGAGGGAAAGGUGAAAAGGACCCCGGGAGGGGAGUGAAAUAGAACCUGAAACCUUAUGCUUACAAGCAGAGGGAGCGCAAGUGACCUCGUACUUUUUGUAGAACGGGCCAACGAGUUAUGGUAUGCAGCGAGGUUAAGGUGCUGGAGCACUGGAGCCGUAGAGAAAUCGAGUCUGAAAGGGCGAAAGUUGCAUGCUGUAGACCCGAAACCGGGUGAUCUAUCCAUGUCCAGGUUGAAGUAACUGUAAUAGGUUAUGGAGGACCGAACUUAUAUCUGUUGAAAAAGGUUAGGAUGAGGUGUGGAUAGGGGUGAAAUUCCAAUCGAACUCGGAUAUAGCUGGUUCUCCUCGAAAUAGCUUUAGGGCUAGCCUCGUAGUAAGAUACCUGGGGGUAGAGCACUGAAUGUUCUAGGGGCCUUCACCGGUUACCGAAAACUAUCAAACUCCGAAUACCAGAGUAUCAUCUACGGGAGUCAGACUAUGUGAGAUAAGUUUCAUAGUCGAAAGGGAAACAGCCCAGACCGUCAGCUAAGGUCCCAAAAUAUAGGUUAAGUGGAAAAGGAUGUGGGGUUGCACAGACAGCUAGGAUGUUGGCUUAGAAGCAGCCAUUCAUUCAAAGAGUGCGUAAUAGCUCACUAGUCGAGUGACCCUGCGCCGAAGAUAAACGGGGCUAAAACCUAUUACCGAAGCUACGGAUACUUAAUGUAUGGUAGAGGAGCGUCGUAUACGGGUUGAAGCAGUACUGUAAGGUAUUGUGGACUUUAUACGAGAGAGAAUGUUGGCAUGAGUAGCGCGAGGCAGGUGAGAAUCCUGCCCACCGAAAAUCUAAGGUUUCCUGAGGAAGGUUCGUCCACUCAGGGUUAGUCGGGGCCUAAGCCGAGGGCGAAAGCCAUAGGCGAUGGAUAACAGGUAGAAAUUCCUGUACCACCGAAGGUUGUUUGAAUGAUGUGGGGACACAGGAGGAUAAGCUGAGCACGCCGUUGGUAGAGCGUGUCCAAGCGUCAAGGGAGUAUGAAUAGGCAAAUCCGUUCAUAUAUAUUCUGAGGCGUGAUGGGGUGGUCAAUAGACCGGAAGCAGCUGAUUUCACACUGUCAAGAAAAGCCGCUAAUUAGACCUAAGGUGCCCGUACCGCAAACCGACACAGGUAGAUGAGGAGAGAAUCCUAAGGUGAGCGAGCGAACUAUUGUUAAGGAACUCGGCAAAAUAACCCCGUAACUUCGGGAGAAGGGGUGCCUGCUUCGGCAGGCCGCAGUGAAAAGGCCCAGGCAACUGUUUACCAAAAACACAGGUCUCUGCAAAAGCGAAAGCUGAAGUAUAGGGGCUGACGCCUGCCCGGUGCUGGAAGGUUAAGGGGACGUGUCAUCGCAAGAGAAGCACUGAACUUAAGCCCCAGUAAACGGCGGCCGUAACUAUAACGGUCCUAAGGUAGCGAAAUUCCUUGUCGGGUAAGUUCCGACCCGCACGAAAGGCGUAAUGAUUUG
rnacentral:rRNA from 1 species